rnacentral:rRNA from 1 species
UUAGUAUAAACUUGGUUUGGUUAGUAGCUGUUUCGUUGGGGCGACGAAAAUAUAAUUGAUAGUAACUGUUUUUCUUUUAUAAUAACAAUAAAUUUUUGGUAGAAAUUGAUCCUUUAU